rnacentral:rRNA from 1 species
GAUGAACGCUGGCGGCGUGCUUAACACAUGCAAGUCGAACGGGAAUUACUGUAUUGAAACUUCGUUCGAUUUAAUUUAAUUCUAGUGGCGGACGGGUGAGUAACGCGUUGUUAACCUGCCUUAUACAGGGGGAUAACAGUCAGAAAUGGCUGCUAAUACCGCAUAAGCGCACAGAGCUGCAUGGCUCGGUGUGGAAAACUCCGGUGGUAUAAGAUGGACCCGCGUUGGAUUAGCUUGGUGGUGGGGUAACGGCUCACCAAGGCGACGAGCCAUAGCCGGCCCGAGAGGGGGCACGGCCACACUGGAACUGAGACACGGUCCAGACGCCUACGGGAGGCAGCAGUAGGGAAUCUUCCGCAAUGGGCGAAGGCCUGACGGAGCAACACCGCGUGAGUGAUGAAGUUCGUCGGAUCGUAAAACUCUGUUAUUAGGGAAGAACAUAUGUGUAAGUAACUGUGCACAUCUUGACGGUACCUAAUCAGAAAGCCACGGCUAACUACGUG